rnacentral:lncRNA from 1 species
CCAAACUAUAAAGAAACUUUACUUAAAACUAAUAUGUCAUUGUAUUCAAGAGAAUAGAGCUAAGCAGGAAUCCUGUUUAAAAAAAAAUAUUCCUUGAACUCAUUCCAUUGAUAACACCUGUACUAAUGACUCAUGUCCACACUUUCUUGACUUUUGACAGAAUAAUGCAGAAAUCAGAUCUAGAAUCAUAGGUUAUGUUAUAAUACCCAUGCUAAAAAAAACUAGAUAUGGAACCAUAGUUACUAAAUCUUGAUCUGUCCACUGUACAUUUCAAGGAUUUGGAACCAAGAAGCAUCCUUUCUAAUUUUGAAAUCAGGGAAAUCUUUCUCUUCUGAAGAUUUAUAAAAAUGCUGGUACCAUAGAUACAUUUUCAUGUUCUUUAAAGAGAACUCAUUUUGAAGCUUUGAAAUGACUGAAAAGGGCCUGGGCCGUGAUGCUUCCCUUUAGUUAUUUUGCUUGAUCUGCAUAUUACUUUGGGAAGAAAACACAACAUAGUAAAAUAAAAUUUACAACAG